rnacentral:tRNA from 2 species
GCCCCCAUAGUUAAACGGAUAUAACAGACCCCUCCUAAGGGUCAGUUUGUGGUUCGAUUCCACAUGGGGGUGCCA